GGGUUGUGAGGUUAAGCGACUAAGCGUACACGGUGGAUGCCCUGGCAGUCAGAGGCGAUGAAGGACGUGCUAAUCUGCGAAAAGCGUCGGUAAGGUGAUAUGAACCGUUAUAACCGGCGAUGUCCGAAUGGGGAAACCCAGUGCAAUUCGUUGCACUAUCGUUAACUGAAUACAUAGGUUAACGAGGCGAACCGGGGGAACUGAAACAUCUAAGUACCCCGAGGAAAAGAAAUCAACCGAGAUUCCCCCAGUAGCGGCGAGCGAACGGGGAGCAGCCCAGAGUCUGAAUCAGCUUGUGUGUUAGUGGAACGGUCUGGAAAGUCCGACGGUACAGGGUGAUAGUCCCGUACACCAAAAUGCACAGGUUGUGAACUCGAAGAGUAGGGCGGGACACGUGGUAUCCUGUCUGAAUAUGGGGGGACCAUCCUCCAAGGCUAAAUACUCCUGACUGACCGAUAGUGAACCAGUACCGUGAGGGAAAGGCGAAAAGAACCCCGGCGAGGGGAGUGAAAAAGAACCUGAAACCGUGUACGUACAAGCAGUGGGAGCACCUUCGGGUGUGACUGCGUACCUUUUGUAUAAUGGGUCAGCGACUUAUAUUCUGUAGCAAGGUUAACCGUAUAGGGGAGCCGCAGGGAAACCGAGUCUUAACUGGGCGUUAAGUUGCAGGGUAUAGACCCGAAACCCGGUGAUCUAGCCAUGGGCAGGUUGAAGGUUGGGUAACACUAACUGGAGGACCGAACCGACUAAUGUUGAAAAAUUAGCGGAUGACUUGUGGCUGGGGGUGAAAGGCCAAUCAAACCGGGAGAUAGCUGGUUCUCCCCGAAAGCUAUUUAGGUAGCGCCUCGUGAACUCAUCUUCGGGGGUAGAGCACUGUUUCGGCUAGGGGGUCAUCCCGACUUACCAACCCGAUGCAAACUACGAAUACCGAAGAAUGUUAUCACGGGAGACACACGGCGGGUGCUAACGUCCGUCGUGAAGAGGGAAACAACCCAGACCGCCAGCUAAGGUCCCAAAGUCAUGGUUAAGUGGGAAACGAUGUGGGAAGGCACAGACAGCCAGGAUGUUGGCUUAGAAGCAGCCAUCAUUUAAAGAAAGCGUAAUAGCUCACUGGUCGAGUCGGCCUGCGCGGAAGAUGUAACGGGGCUAAACCAUGCACCGAAGCUGCGGCAGCGACACUAUGUGUUGUUGGGUAGGGGAGCGUUCUGUAAGCCUGCGAAGGUGUGCUGUGAGGCAUGCUGGAGGUAUCAGAAGUGCGAAUGCUGACAUAAGUAACGAUAAAGCGGGUGAAAAGCCCGCUCGCCGGAAGACCAAGGGUUCCUGUCCAACGUUAAUCGGGGCAGGGUGAGUCGACCCCUAAGGCGAGGCCGAAAGGCGUAGUCGAUGGGAAACAGGUUAAUAUUCCUGUACUUGGUGUUACUGCGAAGGGGGGACGGAGAAGGCUAUGUUAGCCGGGCGACGGUUGUCCCGGUUUAAGCAUGUAGGCUGGUUAUCCAGGCAAAUCCGGAUAAUCAAGGCUGAGGUGUGAUGACGAGGCACUACGGUGCUGAAGUAACAAAUGCCCUGCUUCCAGGAAAAGCCUCUAAGCAUCAGGUAACAUCAAAUCGUACCCCAAACCGACACAGGUGGUCAGGUAGAGAAUACCAAGGCGCUUGAGAGAACUCGGGUGAAGGAACUAGGCAAAAUGGUGCCGUAACUUCGGGAGAAGGCACGCUGGUGUGUAGGUGAAGUCCCUGCGGAUGGAGCUGAGACCAGUCGAAGAUACCAGCUGGCUGCAACUGUUUAUUAAAAACACAGCACUGUGCAAACACGAAAGUGGACGUAUACGGUGUGACGCCUGCCCGGUGCCGGAAGGUUAAUUGAUGGGGUUAUCCGUAAGGAGAAGCUCUUGAUCGAAGCCCCGGUAAACGGCGGCCGUAACUAUAACGGUCCUAAGGUAGCGAAAUUCCUUGUCGGGUAAGUUCCGACCUGCACGAAUGGCGUAAUGAUGGCCAGGCUGUCUCCACCCGAGACUCAGUGAAAUUGAACUCGCUGUGAAGAUGCAGUGUACCCGCGGCAAGACGGAAAGACCCCGUGAACCUUUACUAUAGCUUGACACUGAACAUUGAGCCUUGAUGUGUAGGAUAGGUGGGAGGCUUUGAAGCGUGGACGCCAGUCUGCGUGGAGCCAACCUUGAAAUACCACCCUUUAAUGUUUGAUGUUCUAACGUUGGCCCCUGACCGGGGUUGCGGACAGUGUCUGGUGGGUAGUUUGACUGGGGCGGUCUCCUCCCAAAGCGUAACGGAGGAGCACGAAGGUUAGCUAAUCCUGGUCGGACAUCAGGAGGUUAGUGCAAUGGCAUAAGCUAGCUUGACUGCGAGCGUGACGGCGCGAGCAGGUGCGAAAGCAGGUCAUAGUGAUCCGGUGGUUCUGAAUGGAAGGGCCAUCGCUCAACGGAUAAAAGGUACUCCGGGGAUAACAGGCUGAUACCGCCCAAGAGUUCAUAUCGACGGCGGUGUUUGGCACCUCGAUGUCGGCUCAUCACAUCCUGGGGCUGAAGUAGGUCCCAAGGGUAUGGCUGUUCGCCAUUUAAAGUGGUACGCGAGCUGGGUUUAGAACGUCGUGAGACAGUUCGGUCCCUAUCUGCCGUGGGCGCUGGAGAAUUGAGGGGGGCUGCUCCUAGUACGAGAGGACCGGAGUGGACGCAUCACUGGUGUUCGGGUUGUCAUGCCAAUGGCACUGCCCGGUAGCUAAAUGCGGAAGAGAUAAGUGCUGAAAGCAUCUAAGCACGAAACUUGCCCCGAGAUGAGUUCUCCCUGAGACUUUAAGUCUCCUGAAGGAACGUUGAAGACGAUGACGUUGAUAGGCCGGGUGUGUAAGCGCAGCGAUGCGUUGAGCUAACCGGUACUAAUGAACCGUGAGGCUUAACCUUACAACGCCGAAG
rnacentral:rRNA from 1 species